rnacentral:rRNA from 1 species
CCUACGGGUGGCAGCAGUGGGGGAUAUUGCACAAUGGGGGAAACCCUGAUGCAGCGACGCCGCGGGUGGGAAGACGGUCCUCUGGAUUGUAAACCACUGUCCCCAGGGACGAAGAUGACGGUACCUGGGGAGGAAGCUCCGGCUAACUACGUGCCAGCAGCCGCGGUAAUACGUAGGGAGCGAGCGUUGUCCGGAAUUACUGGGUGUAAAGGGAGCGUAGGCGGGACUGCAAGUUGGGUGUCAAAUCUACCGGCUCAACCGGUAGCCGCACUCAAAACUGCAGUUCUUGAGUGAAGUAGAGGCAGGCGGGAUUCCUAGUUGAGCGGUGGAAUGCGUAGAUAUUAGGAGGAACACCAGUGGCGAAGGCGGACUGCUGGGCUUUUACUGACGCUGAGGCUCGAAAGUGUGGGGAGCAAACAGGAUUAGAUACCCCAGUAGUC